CGGACUCGGGGCUACUGAAAUCAAACGGAAGAGAUCUGUUAAAUUGUCGAGGUUUUGAAUUUGUUUAUUGUUUGAAGACCUUCACAAGAAGGCACUAAAAUGGGCAGAAGUAGAAGCCGAUCCCUACCAAAACGAGGUCUCUUCGCAGACUACGCUCUUCCUCUGGCUCCCUCCAGGCAGACGGACAGGCGUGAUGAUGAUCAAAAGGAUUCCAAGGAUAAAGGGAUUAGCAUCAGAUCUCGGGUGGUUUAUUUGCUAUGAACUUGGAUGCGUUUCAAAUGGUGAAAUCUGCCAUUUGGGACGCACACCCUAUGUGAGGAAUACUAUUGUUGCAUGUCACUAGCUAGGUUUCCAAUCAAUUUGCGACAGAUUUCAAUGUGAAUAUUAAAACAUAUGUAUUUGUGCGUGAUAACGUAGGGCACAUAAUAACGUUUGCGGUUAAAUUCCCAUGUCGAGUCAAAAAAAAAAAAAGUUCGCAUCCUUGUACAGUAGAUUAAAGUGAUUAAAUCACUCUGCUCUUUUUUGUUGAGUUCUCUAACUCCCCUUUACCUCGAAUUAGUCAUGUUUCUUCCUGGUAAACCAUUCUCAUGGUUUCCGUUACAAAAUAAUCAGUAGAGCUAAAAAUGUAACUAAAAAUAAUAUUGGCACCUGCACUCUAGCCAACAAUUUAAUAAUACAGUAUGGGUACAGCCUACUACAUGAUGAGAUUAUUAUGGACAAAAUAUCAUUUUUAUUUGUCAAACAGCAGGCAAGCAUCCAUGUCACCAAAAUAAAAAGCUCGAUAUUUAUUGGAAAGAAGCAUCAAGCUCAUCACUACGCUUUCACUACCCUUGAAAGUUCAUAGAGGGAGGAUUACAUAACAUAGACUAUCAUCGUGUGAUUUAGAAAGGAUGCUAAUUUCAAUAUUUGCACGUAAAAUAAUUUCCACGGCCAUUUCUUGCAUAAUUAAUUUUACAGACACAUAAAGAUCCAACCUUGUCUGGCAUGGUUUGUCAAUUUGUAAUGUUUAUGGACAUAUUUGCUGUUUCCAUCAGGACAUUUUUUUAAAAUCCAACGUACUUUACUCGCAUAAAAAGGUUGGAUGGAAACAUGCUUAGUGUCAAAAUGUGUGUAUUGUUUACAGAGGAAGACAUGCAGGGCAAGACCGAAGAGGAGAUUGAGAUGAUGAAUAUUAUGGAUUUCGGCAACUUUGACACCACAAAAGGAAGGAAGACCGAUGGCGCAGUGUGUCCCAGAAGAGGAAAUACAGGCAUGCUGAUUCAUUGUCUUUAGAAACUACAAGAGGCAGUACACGAACAGAAAAGGUGGAUUCAACAGACCUCUCGACGUCAUUGCUUGAAGUAGGAUAAACAACAGACUCAUUGAUGUUACCUAAAAUGUACUAGCCUUGUGGUCUCUCUUUACCGUGACACUGUGUGUUUUUGUGAUAAAGUAAAAAAAUAAUUGUAUAGUCUGUUCCUUUUUUAUUUAUUGACUCCCUGCACGGCAUAUAAAUUCUGCAAAUACUCAUGCGACUGAAUAAGUAAAUGUUUCUGUAAUA